rnacentral:rRNA from 1 species
AGAGGGGGCUAGCGUUAUUCGGAAUUAUUGGGCGUAAAGGGCGCGUAGGCGGCCUUGCGUGUCUUUCGUGAAAUCCCUCGGCUUAACUGAGGACGUGCGGAAGAAACUGCAGGGCUUGAGUCCGGGAGAGGGGGGUGGAAUUCCCAGUGUAGCGGUGAAAUGCGUAGAUAUUGGGAGGAACACCGGUGGCGAAGGCGGCCCCCUGGACCGGUACUGACGCUGAGGCGCGAAAGCGUGGGGAGCAAACGGGAUUAGAUACCCCGGUAGUCCACGCCGUAAACGAUGGGCACUUGGUGUCGCGGGUAUCGACCCCUGCGGUGCCGAAGCUAACGCAUUAAGUGCCCCGCCUGGGGAGUACGGUCGCAAGGCUG